GGGCUUCAGCGUGCGUCCUUGCCUGCAGGUUUCGCGCGCGUAUCGUGGACGUAGUUUUCUUGUGCGUGCUGACAGAUUUUGCUGUAACGCAGGAUGGAGUACACUUCAGCUUUCAAGCUAGUACAACCAAUUCAGCUUUCACAAAUGCAACCACGCCGUAAUGACAAAUUUACAAGCUAUGGCAGCGUGGUUGAAAAACUGCAGCUUGAGAGCACAGUCUGCAGCUAGAAAUGACCAGCCCCCUAUAAA